CAAAGGUGUAGAUUAAAAAUUACACCACUCCAGGCCCUUUUGUUUUCCACGUAAUUAAUAUUGCCAAUAAUGAAGAAGUUCCGGGUCGAGUCCGCUACCGAUAACAAUAGUAUAUUCACCUUUUACCUAUUACCUUAUCUGUACGUUCCGCAUCUGACAGGCGCACCACCAAACGUUGUAUUCAGGAUUAAUAUGCUAUAUACACGGGUCAUAACCACAGGAUUGACACUACUAAAUUGUCAAAUUGUUACCUAUUGUAGUAUUUUAAUCAGUUAGACUUUCUAAGAUAACAAUACGAAUACUAAAAAUCUGGACUAAAAAUAAGGCGUAUAGGUACAGUUUUCAAUUUGUUAGUGGGCAUGACGUAAAACAGCGAGGCAAAGAAUUCAACUUUACUUAUAACUUAUAUAGGACAAUGCUGUUGAUUAAAAAAUACUCCAUUCCAGGACCUUUUGUUUUCCAAAUAAUUAAUAUUACCAAUAAUUGAUAAGUUCCAGUUCGACGGGUUCAAACAGAAAGACUUGAAAGCAGAGAAAAACUGUGUAUCUUAAAAUCGGCAUGACUUUAACAGAUGACAAUACUAAUACUAAAAUAAGGCUUGCGCAUAGUUCUAUACUUUAAUUCAAUCACGAACCCGUGAUAUCACGGGUGUGUUCUAGUACAAUAGAAAAUUACGACAU
rnacentral:lncRNA from 1 species